rnacentral:rRNA from 1 species
UACGAAGGGGGGCUAGCGUUGUUCGGAUUUACUGGGCGUAAAGCGCACGUAGGCGGUUUGUUAAGUCAGGGGUGAAAUCCCAGAGCUCAACUCUGGAACUGCCUUUGAUACUGGCAAGCUCGAGUCCGGAAGAGGUAAGUGGAACUCCUAGUGUAGAGGUGGAAUUCGUAGAUAUUAGGAAGAACACCAGUGGCGAAGGCGGCUUACUGGUCCGGAACUGACGCUGAGGUGCGAAAGCGUGGGGGAGCAAACAGG